CUGUGUGUGACCAGUGGGCGGCGCUGUGUGUGACCAGUGGGCGGCGCUGGUGAGGUUCGGGCCUACAGUAGGAUGUCGGCGUCGCUGGUGAGGAAAGGCCUGGAGCUGCUGGGCCAGGAAACCAGGGGUAAAAGUGACAUGACGGUGAAGAGGAAGGUGGCGUGUGGCCGGACUGGGACUGACCGCACCGGCCUGAGGACCACAGGCAAGAGAGGAGUCAAGAAGCAGCGGCAGAGGCUUCAUGCACAAAAGAAAAAGGUCAAAUCCACUGUGAAGGGGAAGGCGGUGAAGUCAGCCCUCGAGGAGUAUCGGAAACGACAGGGUACGGACCACACUGAAGACAAUCUCCGGUACAUGCUGGGCGUGAGCUCACAGACUGAGAGCAGCAUCACCAGACAGAUUCUCAAUUACAAUCGAGGGAGGAAAGCGAGAGACCUUCCGGAAGAGGAGAAAGCAAAGAAGGAAGAAAAGAGUGUUUUCUCAGAGAAAGACUUCAGGACAUUUGAGAAAGAAUAUUUUGGAAAUCCGCAAUAACUUGGGAGUCUCAGUGGCUGGAGCGAAUGUUGAACAAGAGCAAACGUGCCCAUGAGCCGCAGAUUUAAUUGAAGAAACAAAUGGGCCUUACAGAUUGCUGUGAAUUAUGAGACACAAAAAUGUUAAUUGUGCAAUACAGGAAGAUUAAAUGGCGUAAAGCAGAAGGGAGCACCUCGACAAGGCUACGACCAGGUGGUACAGACAGGGGAAGAGAACUGCAAUCCUCACUUUGUAUAAAUGUCGUAACUGGGAAUGGUUUGGGAAAUUAUCACAUCUUCAUCUCCACUGCACACAUCACGGUGUGUGGGCUGCAGAAAGGUGCUCUUACAGAUGUUCCAUGAAUGGUUUAUUGAACUAAUGAAUUUAUCUGCUUAGGACAGAAUGAGAACAGGUAUUCUGAAUGGCUUCCCUCUCCCCGACUUGUCGUUACUCCCCCACUGCGAAGCUCUCCUGGGAGCCACCCCGCGUGAAGGGCGCUGUAUAAAUGGAAGCUGUUGUUGAAUCAAAUGACUUUGUGCAGGUUAUGUUGCAAAACCCUCCAGGAAUAAGUAAUCAACUACUGAUUGACAUUUUCAAUGUUUUAUUACAAAUAACAUUAAAAACAAGUACUACAACAUAUACAAACA